rnacentral:sRNA from 1 species
GCCCAGCCGACGGAGCCUUCGAGGCGAA